rnacentral:lncRNA from 1 species
CUGCUCAGCUUCCCAAAGUAAUGGGAAUACAGGAAACAAAGACAAGUGAAGCAGCAAACUUGCCGAACAAUCUCUGCCACACCAUAUGCACUUCAAAAGACCAACCACAGUGAUUAAAGGGAUGAAAAAGAUGACCUGCUUGAAAACUCUAAAGAACCCAGUAUUAUUUGAAAGAAGAGGAAGCUGAAUGCCCUCUGUCCUUCUCUGGAAUAAGAACUAACCUGAACAACAGUAACAACAAUACAAACAGCUAUGAAGAUUAUGUAUAGCUGGAGGCUACAAGCAGAUGGUGACCAAACCUGUCAGAUUGUUUUUUAAAGAUGCUGAGGAGCAGAUUUCUCAUGGGGAGCACCUUCUGAUACAUUUUAAUACGUUUCUUACAGGCUAGUCAAAUAAAGCAGUGGGAGUGGAAAAGGAUCAAAGAAAUCUGUAACCGGUUAUGAUCAAUUAGUUGUAAACACCACUGCACGAGGACCAGCCCAAAGCUGCUACUUAACCAAGUGACUUUCUGAUUGCUCAACUGUGUUUCCACUGAGAAAAAUGCAUUGAAAUGAAACAUCUCAUUUCCAGUACUGUCCUGAGGCAAAAAGAGACAAUGAUACGUAUCUCCAAUUUAGACUGGAUGAAACUAGCCACAUUUCAAAUAAAGAAGUCACAUUGUAAGUGUAAAACGACGUUAACCUUAAAGGAGACAUUUCCGCCCUGUAUAACUAUGCACAGCUUCAACUAAUGGUAUAUGAACUGUGUCUACAAACCAAAGGACAUUUUUCUAAAGAAACUUUAAAUAUAGAAAAUUAACUCAAACCUUACCUUAGAGCUUCCUCCUCUAUUGUCUUUUCCUGUAGUGGUAGUCUCUGUGGCACUUACAGGUGGUAAACAAAUAAAAAAGUGUCUUAUUGAAUUAACUUGAUUGCCAUAUUGAUCAGUUUUAUGUGUUUUUAUUCUUAAGCAUAACAAUAAAAGAAAAUGAUUAAGCAAUGUUUUGCUUAAAAAAAAAAGAUUUCAUGGCAGAGAAGCAAUUGAGUCCAGUUAAGAGACAGUUAAGAACAUUUUUCAGUUUGGAGCUUUUGUUUUGUGAUGAGAACUUUGCCAGUUAGUCACAAAUGAACUUGAGCACAUUUUCUUGAGCGUGAUGGCUGAACAGAUGAGCCACACACACUUUAUAGUGAGUUUUACUGCACUGAGUCUUUACCUACUAUUCCUAGUAGUUACACAUAUUAAAUUAUUAAUAACUGAUCAACAUUUUAAAAGAAGGUUUCAAAAGAAAUGUAAUUAGAUUUUAUAGUUGAGUUUUAGCUAAUGUGUGAUUCCACAAAAGUUCAGGUGCCGAGAUUACAUUUCAAUUUAUACUUGCCAUCUGCUAGAAUAUUCCCCUCUGUCUACAGCAUCCUGACCAGAUCUCCAAAUUUUGAAAUCUGUUUUCAUUAUUCAAGACUCAUUGUACAUUUCAAAUACCAGGUUGAUUUCUUAGUCUCCAUGUUCUCCAUGUCUGCUUAUGACUUUACAGAAAAAAUGUUAUUUACUAUGCAUAUUAAUAUUGAGAUUCUUUACUAUGCUGUAUCUUUUU